CAAUAGCGUAUAUUUAAGUUGUUGCAGUUAAAAAGCUCGUAGUUGGAUUUCGGUUAAGAGCGACCGGUCCGCCGUUUGGUGUGCACUGGUUGGUUUUAACUUCCUGUAGAGGACGUGCUCUGGGUUUAACGACCUGGACUCGGAGUCUACGUGGUUACUUUGAAAAAAUUAGAGUGUUCAAAGCGGGCUUACGCUUGAAUAUUUCAGCAUGGAAUAACACUAUAGGACUCCUGUCCUAUUUCGCUGGUCUCGGGACGGGAGUAAUGAUUAAGAGGAACAGUUGGGGGCAUUCGUAUUUCAUUGUCAGAGGUGAAAUUCUUGGAUUUAUGAAAGACGAACUUCUGCGAAAGCAUUUGCCAAGGAUGUUUUCAUUAA
rnacentral:rRNA from 1 species